rnacentral:rRNA from 1 species
AAUCAACGCUGGCGGCGUGCCUAACACAUGCAAGUCGAACGAGAAAGUGGAGCAAUCCAUGAGUAAAGUGGCGACCGGGUGAGUAACACGUGACUAACCUACCUCCGAGUGGGGAAUAACUCUGGGAAACCGGGGCUAAUACCGCAUAACAUCGCGAGAUCAAAGCAGCAAUGCGCUUGGAGAGGGGGUCGCGGCUGAUUAGCUAGUUGGCGGGGUAACGGCCCACCAAGGCGAAGAUCGGUAUCCGGCCUGAGAGGGCGCACGGACACACUGGAACUGAAACACGGUCCAGACUCCUACGGGAGGCAGCAGUGGGGAAUUUUGCGCAAUGGGGGAAACCCUGACGCAGCAACGCCGCGUGGAGGAUGAAGCCCUUUGGGGCGUAAACUCCUUUCGACCAAGACGAUAAUGACGGUACUGGUGGAAGAAGCACCGGCUAACUCUGUGCCAGCCGCCGCCGUAAUAC